AGUGAACGCUGGCGGUAGGCCUAACACAUGCAAGUCGAACGGCAGCACAGGAGAGCUUGCUCUCUGGGUGGCGAGUGGCGGACGGGAGGAAUACAUCGGAAUCUACUUUUUCGUGGGGGAUAACGUAGGGAAACUUACGCUAAUACCGCAUACGACCUACGGGUGAAAGCAGGGGAUCUUCGGACCUUGCGCGAUUGAAUGAGCCGAUGUCGGAUUAGCUAGUUGGCGGGGUAAAGGCCCACCAAGGCGACGAUCCGUAGCUGGUCUGAGAGGAUGAUCAGCCACACUGGAACUGAGACACGGUCCAGACUCCUACGGGAGGCAGCAGUGGGGAAUAUUGGACAAUGGGCGCAAGCCUGAUCCAGCCAUACCGCGUGGGUGAAGAAGGCCUUCGGGUUGUAAAGCCCUUUUGUUGGGAAAGAAAUCCAGCUGGUUAAUACCCGGUUGGGAUGACGGUACCCAAAGAAUAAGCACCGGCUAACUUCGUGCCAGCCGCCGCGGUAA
rnacentral:rRNA from 1 species